GAAGGCCUGCAGACCGGGCCAAGGGCGGCACCCGUGACGUCCAGACCACGGCCGAUCCCGCCCCGCGCGAGACUCCCUCCCCUCAUCACGGCCCGACGGGGCGGGCGCAGAGGGGAGGCACGUAGUGGAGGGGCCCUUCCGGGGUGACCACGCUGGACUGGAUCCGCGCGCUCUCCCGGGAGCGCGCGCUCCGCCGGUGGCUCGUGGGUCUCGUGGGGCACGUGGACAGCAAGGCGCAACGUGCGGUGAGAAGGCUUCUCCCUUCCCACCGAGGAGCGAGGCUCAGUUCUGAGCCAGAGCACCUUUGAGCCCUUCCUCGGACGUGCUGAUCCCCCGUGUUAACAAGGAGCGUGAGUGGGCGCGGGCUCGGCCCACGGCCCUUCGGCCGAGAGCACCGUAAACCCUCUCUUUGUUGUUGUCAUUCCACUGCGCCGUUCCUCUCUUUACGAGGUCACCUACUUUUCACGGGAAAUGAAAUUGGUUUCCAGUGGUAACGAUCAUUAGGUCUCUCUCUCCAGUGCGUUUAUGUACAGACACAAAAGCCAGUGAGAGCUGAUCCAAAGGAAAAUUUCCGGUAAGCGCCAGUGAAGGCGGUUUGUCAAGAAGACGUUUGGAGGACGCGCGACUCAUUAUCCUGGGGAUCCGGAAGCUCCCGCUUCCUAGCACUCUAGAGUGUUCCUAACACUCUAGAACGUGUCUUUGUCCACCGCCUCGUUCCCGCCUCAGCCCCGCUUCCUGAGCCAACAGAGGAACCCUUGCCCCGUCCCAGUUGCCCUCUUGCCCCUCCUGUCCCCAUCUGUCCCCGCUUGGUGUGCUCGGGGGAUCCCAGUCUAGGCAACUGAACACGUCACUGGGGGCCCCGGGGAGCCACCUCCGCCUGUUGCUCUGGGCCUCCCUGCCUGCCCGCGGGGCCCAAGGGAGUCACUGGGGCCCCCGGUUGGCCAGCGCUGUCAGCCCUGGUGUGCCCUGCCCAGGCAACUAUAUGGCUAGCCCAAUCAGCCUAGACAGGACACAGGAUAACUCAGGUCCCAAAAUGGACUCUGGGAGUUGUUCAAGAUGAAAAAUCUCAAGUGGACAGAAUUGGUUGAAUCAUAAUCUCUGAUUUACAACACACUGUCAUCUUUGGUCCAUGAGUAGCCUCUAUAUUUUACUUAUUUACUUACUUAUUAAUAUAAUGAACACUGAUGAACCUACCACCAAACUAUUUUCUGUUUGACCCAAAGUUUAAGAAUGACUUUUACACUUUUAAGGAUUGUUGUUGCUAUUGUUUUUUUAAUUUCUAUUUUUGCCAUAUCUAGCACUUUCAUUAUCUGUAAAAUAGACUUAAUACUAGUACUUAUCUCUUAGGGUUAUUGUGAGAAUCAAAUGAAUGAAUCUUUGUAAAAUGCUUACAACAGGGUCUGGUACAUAGUGGGUGCUAUUUAAAUGUUAUUAUUUCUAUUAUUAGGUUAAAUAAAAUUAAUUAUAUAUACAUAUAUUUUAGAUCUCUCAUUGUUUUGUUCUUUCUAUGUGAUUUGUCAAGAACUAAUAGAAGUGUGGUAAAAUCUCCCUGUACUGUUACACUGUUGCCACUUUUUUCUUGUCUUUUUAUUCUAAUGGUUUUUGUUUGAUAUAAGUGCUGUGCAAUCCCAAGCAAAAAUAUAUUUAUAAUAGUUUUUUUUUUUAAUUAUAGCUUGGAUCUGCUUGGUUUUAUCUCAAGCUUCUUAUGUUGAGUUAAACCUUGUUUAAUGUUAACAAACAAAAACACUCUA